AGAACGAUUGGCAAUACAAAAUCAGAAAAGCUGGAAGAGAACAAAAUAAUAGAGAGAUCGACGACGGAAGGAAAGAAGAUAAAGAUGGCAUGAACAGAUUGAAACUAAUCAACUUGUUUUAGAUCUAAUAUGUGCUUUCUAAUUUGAUAUCUACUUGUUUGGAUGAGUGUAGAUUUUGAUUUAGAGAGAAUAGAAGAUGAGUGUAAGGGAGGAGCGGCUGCAAGCCUCCAACAUAGAAAAGUAGGGUUAUGUUUUUAACUUCACCUUUAUUUGAUA
rnacentral:lncRNA from 1 species